AUCGCAGACGGUUGAUUAAGUCUGAUGUGAAAGCCCGGAGCUCAACUCCGGAAUGGCAUUGGAAACUGGUUAACUUGAGUGUUGUAGAGGUAAGUGGAACUCCAUGUGUAGCGGUGGAAUGCGUAGAUAUAUGGAAGAACACCAGUGGCGAAGGCGGCUUACUGGACAACAACUGACGUUGAGGCUCGAAAGUGUGGGUAGCAAACA
rnacentral:rRNA from 1 species